rnacentral:rRNA from 1 species
UCGGGAAUAUUGCGCAAUGGAGGAAACUCUGACGCAGUGACGCCGCGUGCAGGAAGAAGGUUUUCGGAUUGUAAACUGCUUUAGACAGGGAAGAAAAAAAUGACAGUACCUGUAGAAUAAGCUCCGGCUAACUACGUGCCAGCAGCCGCGGUAAUACGUAGGGAGCGAGCGUUAUCCGGAUUUAUUGGGUGUAAAGGGUGCGUAGACGGAAUAACAAGUUAGUUGUGAAAUCCCUCGGCUUAACUGAGGAACUGCAACUAAAACUAUUAAUCUUGAGUGCUGGAGGGGAAAGCGGAAUUCCUAGUGUAGCGGUGAAAUGCGUAGAUAUUAGGAAGAACACCGGUGGCGAAGGCGGCUUUCUGGACAGUAACUGACGUUGAGGCACGAAAGUGUGGGGAGCAAACAGG